GACGAACGCUGGCGGCGUGCUUAACACAUGCAAGUCGAACGGAAAGGCCCUGCUUUUGUGGGGUGCUCGAGUGGCGAACGGGUGAGUAACACGUGAGUAACCUGCCCUUGACUUUGGGAUAACUUCAGGAAACUGGGGCUAAUACCGGAUAGGAGCUCCUGCUGCAUGGUGGGGGUUGGAAAGUUUCGGCGGUUGGGGAUGGACUCGCGGCUUAUCAGCUUGUUGGUGGGGUAGUGGCUUACCAAGGCUUUGACGGGUAGCCGGCCUGAGAGGGUGACCGGCCACAUUGGGACUGAGAUACGGCCCAGACUCCUACGGGAGGCAGCAGUGGAGAAUAUUGCGCAAUGGGCGGAAGCCUGAUGCAGCAACGCCGCGUGCGGGAUGACGGCCUUCGGGUUGUAAACCGCUUUCGCCUGUGACGAAGCGUGAGUGACGGUAAUGGGUAAAGAAGCACCGGCUAACUACGUG
rnacentral:rRNA from 1 species